rnacentral:lncRNA from 1 species
UGGAAUCAGCCAAAUCAAUAGAGAACAAAGUGUUUGAAAUUGAAUUAAGAACAGUGUUAAAAACAGCCUCACCAAUAUCAAAAACCUCACCUUUGUUGCUUUUUUCAUUCACAUAAUCCAAUAAUUCUUGCAACUUUUGUUGGCGAAGGUUUUUUGUUGAGUCAAGCAUUUUUUUAGAAAAUACAUUUGUGGCACAACUUUUCCUUAGUUUCUUCCAUAAAGCUAAUGUUGGAAGCCACCCAAUUGAGAAUUUGUCAUGAUCAACUGCACUAAGUGCAUGUGGAACAGUUCUAUUAGAGAAGAUUUGGGAAUUUUCAUGUAAGGCUUGUUUGGCUACUUGUGGAGAUGAAAUUACUAUGGUUGUUAUUGUUCCUAGUUUUAGUGUCAUGAUUGGUCCAUAGUUUUGUGAGAGUUUUGUGAGUGCCUUAUGUGGGUUUUUGCCAAGUUCUAAGAUGUUUCCUAUGAUGGGAAGUGGGUAUGGCCCUGGUGGAAGUUUAGUAGAAUUUUGGGUUUGGAUUAAUUUUCUAAGAAUGAAGAUGAGAAUGGUUGUACACAAAGAGGUAAUCACUAGUAGAAGUGUUUGGUACUCCAUGGCUUAUUGUUUUUGGCUUUUCUUUUACAUGUAUAUAUUUAUAAGAAAAAAAGAGCACUGAUAGGGUGUGAUAUGAGGAUAGAUACGGUUCCAGUAGUUAUAGUGCUAAGGAGAUUGGAAGGAGUAUGGGUUGUAUGAUUGGAAUAAACAAUGGAAUAAUGAUCUUCAACUACUGAAACACAGUCUCAUCAUUAGAUAAAAGAUGAUUUGAACAAGUGUUUAUACGUAAAGGUAAUGGUCAUCUUAAAAUCCAGUUUUAUGAGUUGUGUUAAACUCAAAACACAAAUUUCAAAUUCUUCAAGAUCCACAUGUUAGGUCACCUAGCAUAUAUAUUUAAGCAGCAAAGCAGUAGUCUUGCGUGUGAGGUCGACAAAGAAGAUAGAAGAAGAGUCACACAUAUCAACUUAAAUAUGUGUUUUUGUUAUUGUUUGUGCCAUAGGAAUGAGAGGUUGGUGAAGCGACAACACAUUGCCCUUUAACAAUAAAUUUAAGGCUAAUUUUUUUUUUCUCUAACUAUUUAAUUGGUAUUAGAUUGGUCCUCUAACUAAAAAUUGAUUUAUUUCAGUUCUCUAAGUUUCUCACCGUUACUAUAUUUAGUCAUUUCUGUUAGUUUUAUUCAAAUAAACGUUAGGGUUUGUGUUAUGUGGGUCCUCUAACUUUAUUUAUUAGUAUCAUUUUGGUCAUAUGACUAGUUAAGGUAUUAUGAUUAAAUAGUGACUGAUAUUAUUAAUAACUUUUAUGGUUCAUAUGUAUCUGUGAAACAGGAGGUCAAGUACCCACAUAACACAAACUCUAACGUUUAUUUGAAUAAAAUUAACAGAAAUGACUAAAUGUAGUAACGGUGAGAAACUUAGAGAAUCGAAAUAAAUCAAUUUUUAAUUAGAGGGUAAAUCUGAUACCAAUUAAAUAGUUAGAUGAUCAAAUGUAAUUAAGUCUAAAUUUAAUAUGAGAAGCAUAUAGAAGUCCUUGCAUUUUAAUCAUGUUGUCUUUUUGUAGGUAUGUUAUGUCUAGCGGUGAGAAAGAUAUAAUAAAGAAAUAUAAAGACAUUUAAAUUUAAUUGGUCAGUUUGAAAUAAAAUUGAUUUGACUGGAAGAUUUUGUUUCAUCUCUUGAUUUUGAUCUUCAGAGAUUUUUUAGUCAUAUUUCAUUGCCAUAAGCUUUUUACUUAGAAAUCGGAGAGUCUAUUUUGUCUAAAGUCUAAAUUCUUCUUCAUAGAGUUCUGGGGCUGCUUGUAAUAAGUAGAUUUUUCCAGUUUUUUUAGCUCAUUUUUGAACAAAUGGAUAGACGACACAUAUCAAAUAAUGUUAUUUUUUAUUUUUAAUAUAAAGCACUAUCUUUUUAAUUUUUUUAAUUUUAGUCAUACAUAUAUCAAAUGCCUCGAUCUGUCGAUGGGUUGCUACCCAAGGUGUUGCCAAAAGGUCACCGCUUGUGAGGCAGGGGGUUUUGUUUGAAACUCAAUCGUGGGGUAAGUUUCAUAAUCAAAAAGUGAGACAACAUAAAAAUAAUGAAAUUUUUGCAGUAUAUGGUUCACAAUUGAAUACUUCAUCCGGUCCUAUUUAUGAAAAAAAUUGAAAUUUUAGAUUCAUUUUGUUUAGAAUAUAGAUCAAAUAUACUAUUUAUGCAAUGAAUCAAAAAAGUCAAAUGUUUUUUAUAAAUAGAAUCGGAAAGAGUAUCGAUGAAGGUGGCACGAUUAAGACAUUCUCGGAGUUGGAGGCAGGUUGAAAACAUGUGUUACUAUUUUAUAAUUAAAUAUAAAAACAUAAAUGAAAAUAGAAUUUACUUUGAGAAAAUAUUUUUUAUUUUUAUAUCUUAAAAUUUAUGUUAGUUUUAUUGAUCAACAAUGAGAAAAUAUAUUAUUUAAGUGAACAAUUGUCUUGGUAUACUUUUAAAGGAUGAAAAUACCAAAAAGUUAUUUUCAUUAUUUACAAGGGUGGAUCAUCCCUAACUAUGAUUUUACUCUUUUUUGUUUAUUUGAAGGGAACUAUCAUUUUACCUUCUCUAUGUAUAAAAAAAAUGCUAACAAGUAUCGUCAACGCAAUUAACGUACUUCCUCCGGUCUCGAAUGUAAGAAACAAAACAAAAAAAUUGUUGAUCUCAAAUGUAAGCAAAAGUAUACAAAAGUUAUUCUAUUAAAUAUUACUAUUCCAAUUUUAACCUCAUUUAUUUUAUCCAAUUUGUUUCACAUUCCCAUGUUUAACGCAUUCCAAAGAUUUUUCAUUGGUGGAAUUCAAAAGUCAUGUUUCCAAGACAAGGGCAUAACAGGAAAAAUGGUAUUUUUUACAAUGACUCAAUCCACUUUCUUAAUAUUUGUGAUAUUUUUUUUAUUUCUUACAUUCAAGACCGGAGGGAGUAUUUGUUAAAAAGUUUAAAGAAUAAAUUUUGUUUUAGAAAUGAUGCAUUUAAUGUAUUGAAAUUUUAAAAAGUAAUUUUUUUAAAAAAAACUUAUCAAUUAUUUUUAUUUUGAAUCCUUAACAAUAUCUUAAUGACACUUGUUAGCAAGACCCAUAAAUAAAUAAAUAAAACUAGUAUAUUAUUAUCUAUUUUUAAAAUAAAAAACAUAAGCAGCCUACAGAGCUAUUGGAUCAACGUGCUUUUCGAUAUGAGUUUGAAUAUAAUGCAUGUAUGACGACCACAUAGGUUCUAAUUCAUCGUUACUGAAUGACUGCCUGUACCAUCAUUGUUUAUUAAGAAAUGGUAGUGACUAUGGUUUUAAAUUGCAGUAUCUAACUUCUAUAAAGGAAAUGCAGUCUAUUAACAAUUUUAGAGGUCUUUGACAAUGACACCUCAACCAAAACAAAAUUAACCUAAAGAAAAAUAAAGGGAUACAGAGACCAAGGGUAUUAGACAUAACCUAGAUAUAACCUAAACGGGAUAUAUCGUGGAAAAUCAUACCAAGUUGUUGGGUCAAUAAGGGGAGUCAGGAGGACCGUCCACAUCGAGGCCCGAACAACCACACUUGCAAGAGAGACGCCACACUCUUACCCAAAAUCUUAAGGCAAUGGGUUUAUGGGGUUCUCUUACUUAUAAGGUGUUCACUCCCUCUCAAGUGUGAGUCCAUCUAUUCAUCAUGCUCCUCCUUUCAAGCGGAAGCCCUUGCUUGUAACGUCGUUGCUGGUUUCUCCAGCAAAUGGACCGACACUGCUUGUACCGUCGUUGCUGCUUUCUGCGCAAUGGACCGACUGCCUCGGUCGUACCCUUCGUCGAAUCAGGCUCUGAUACCAGUGUUGGUUCAUUGAAGGGAUCGUCCACAUCGAGGCUAGAAUAACCACACAAGCAAGAGAGACACCACACUCUUACCCCAAAACCUUAAGGCUCUGUUUGGAUUGAUGGAACAUAAUGGAGCGGAGUGGAAUGGAACGGAAUGGAAUGGAGCGGAAUGGAAUGGGAUGGAGCAGAGAGUCCAUUCCACUGUUUGGGUAUUUUAUGAUGGAGCGGAAUGCAUUUUCCAUUCCAUUGUUUGGAAAGUUGACGGAAUGGAAUAAAUUAUAACUUUUUAUUCCAUUUUUACCCUUGCUUAAAAUAUAAUCUUCUAUUAAAUUUUGUUGUUUCUAAUAUGUUGAAUAUUUAAAAUGUAUAUCAAAUAUUACUGCAAUAUUUUAUCAUCUAAAUUGUACUUUAUAAAACAUUUUUUUCAUCUAAGUUGUACUUAUAAAACAUAUCAUUGUCUCUUGCAAAAAAAUAUCAUUGUUUUACUGUACUAUAUAUUAAAAUGGAUUUCAUAAUAUGAUCACAUAUUUUUAGAAAAUAAACGUUUUUAUUUAUUUUUUGAAUAAAAGAACGAAAAUUAGUUCUGAUAUAAAUUUUAUACCUUUUCAAUAAGUAGAACUAAAAAAAAAAAAAGAUUUCUCUAAAUCGAAAGGUUUAUUUUAGUUUGAUAAUGGAAGCCAUAUAAAAAUAAUUUAAUAUAUUCUAAUCAACGUUAGUGUUUGAUUUUUAGUUUUUUUUGAAUUGUACGUGUUCCUAGUGAAAGCAAAUUAAAAGAUAGCCACGCAUAAGGUACGUUGAAGAACCGAAGAUGAACAAAGUUGUAAAGCUGAAGAAGAAGAAAUUUAAUGAAGAGGUUGUAUUUGUAAUUUAAUCAUUCAAUAAAUAAAGUUAUUAGUGGUUCCAUUCCAUUCCACCCAAAUUGGAGGGUAGCCAAAAUGUAAGUAAGUAAUGGAAUAUGAUGGAAUGAAUGCCAUUGGGUUCCAUUCCAUUCCAUCCUUUUAAUGACAAUCCAAACAAUGGAACAGUAAUUUAUUCCAUCCCAUUCCAUCUCAAACCACCAAUCCAAACAUAGCCUAAGGCAAUGGGUUUAUGGGUCCUCUUACUUAUAAGGUGUUCAGCUUUUACUUUUCUAUCCGAUGUGAGACAUAUAACUCACACUUGCACACAACACAAGUAAACCAACCCUAAUUUAUACUAACAAAAAUCCACUUAUCAUGAGCGCAACCCAUUGGCUUGUGAUAUGACAUUGUGCUUCUCCUCAAGGUCCCAUGUUGAUUCUUUCCGGUGUCAAUUUGGAUAAUCUAGUUUAACUUCUUAAAAAAAAAAAUCCUAGAGAACUCAUGUACGGGAGUGAAACCAAGUUACAAAAAAUAUGAUAAGGGAACAUUGCAAAGAACAAAUAGGGUUUCAGUUUAGCGAAUGGAUCGACCACCAACACGAUAUAAAAAUCCAUGUGCCAAACUCUCUGAACGCAACAACAAGCAUAAAAGCUCUUUCAAGCAUUAAUACAUCAUGGUGGAGGUAUACAUGACGCCUUGAAGCAUGCAUAUCUUAACAACUCUGAAAGAUCAGAGAAACAAAGAUGUCAGACCACCAAACACAUGUUUUAAUCAGAUGCGUAAGAACACAGAUCGAGGGAUGAGUCCAAUACGUUAGUAACCAAAUAGACAUUUUGUGGUUAAUAGAACCACCAACAGAGAAGAUCCAUCAAACACGAACAAGACCAACAAAUCUGCAAAAAGAAAUAAAAAAACCCAAAGACCAGCCAAAAUAAGUGAUGAUCCGAGGACCUCCAACGAUGGAACUUGCACGAAACCUCUAGUAGACACAAACAUAAUCCAAAACAAACCAGCUCGAAACUAGCAGCUUUGGAUCAACGAGCUAUGAUCCAGCACCAAAACUCAAACCUAGAUCCGAGUUCCAAGAUCUAGAUUGAAAUCAACAACCUCCUUGUUCCAUACAAACGGCGGUGAAACUACAAUAAUUGUCUGCAUUUUACCACAAUAUUAUGUUUGUAGCGAAAUUACAACUGAUUCUGUAAUUUCUCUAAGAGGUUGAAAUAGCUUGAACUCGAAGAGGUUGAACCCUCUUUAAUGUUAACCCAAAUUGCUCUUCUAUAUUCAUGUCUUCUGGUUUUAAUCCAUCAACAAAUGUCCAUUCAAAAUUGCGUAGAAGGGAUGUCACAAUUAAAUGCACUACCCUAUGAGCCAAUGGCAAUCAUGGAAAAAUUCUUUUGCCUGCCCCAAAGGGUAUAAGUUCAAAAUUAUUACCCUUAUAAUUAAUGUCACACUCCAAAAAUCUUUGAGGUAUGAAUACAUUUGGAUUUGCCCAAACGGUUGGGUCUCUUCCCAUGGCCUACACAUUGACUAAUAUUUGUGCAUUUUUCGACACAUUGAAACCUAAUACUCCCUCCGGUCUCAAAUGUAAGAAACAAAACAAAAAAAUUGUUGGUCUCAAAUGUAAGCAAAAGUAUACAAAAGUCAUCCUAUUAAAUGUUACUAUUCCAAUUUUAACCUCAUUUACUUUAUCCAAUUUGUUUCACAUUCUCAUGUUUAACGCAUUCCAAAGAUUUUUCAUUGGUGGAAUUCAAAAGUCAUGUUUCCAAGACAAGGGCAUAACAGGAAAAAUGAUAUUUUUUAUAAUGACUCAAUCCACUUUCUUAAUAUGUGUGAUAUUUUUUUUGUUUCUUACAUUUAAGACCGGAGGGAGUAUGUUCACAAUUUCAUCACUUUAUUGGGUACCAAAAAUGGAGCUGGUGGGUGCAACCGAAGAGUUUCCUUCACAACCGCUUGUAAAAAAGGCAACUUAAAUGUAUGUGAUUCUUCAAUUGUUUCAUCUUUACCAAUUGCUUCACAUAACUCUUUUCUUGGUUUUUUUUAAUGUGUUUGGGUUACAUAGUAGCUCUGCCAUAACCCACUCAAUCGUCCUUGAUGAUGUGUCAAUCCCGGCAACAAAUAAAUCAUAACAAAACACCAAUUCACAAAUUCAAUUAAAUUUAUCCCACGGUAUUAGCAAAAGGUGAGGAUUAAAGAUUAAAUGAUGCAAAUAAAAUAAGACAGUGAAAAAUAUGAAAUAAAGUUUAUUGAUUCAAAUUGCAUAUCAACGAAUAUAUCACUAAACCACUUGAGUUAGCUUGAUGGUGUUGUCUUAAGAUAUAAGAGUGUGCUACUCCUCAAGAUUUCAGGUUCGAUUCUUUCCGGUGUUAAGGUUCAAUUCUUCCUGGUGUCAAUUUGGGUUGUCCAAUUUACCUUCUUUAGAAGAAAAAGAAAAGAAUAUAUCAGUAACUUUUUGUGAGUAAACCAAUUUUUUUUUUUUGUAUGCAACCAAAGUUACCUCUCAAUUGUUUAUUGAUGUACCACCUUGUAUUAACGACUUAUUAUCUAAUAAAAUAAAUCGAAUUUAUUUUCCUUAUUAUUAUUUUUUUGUACCUUUUAAAGAGGUCUCAAUAAUCGGAGGUUAACCAAGAACCAAGUAAAGUCUACUAAAUAAUUGUUUUAAUUAGAAUUUAAAUUCAAUUUUACCAAACGAUAUUAAAAAAAAAUGGCUUUGAGGUUAGAUGUUGUAUAACCCACUGAUAGUGGAAUGGAGAGAUCAUUCUCUCCUUAAUAAUAGAUCAUUGGAAAUUGUAAAUUGUAGGAACGAAUAUAAUUAAUUGUAAAUUGUAUAAUACAAAAAAAAUUACUCUAAUAAUAUGUCAAAAUUAAACUCUUAUAAUUUUUGGAAAAAAAAUUAAUCAGUGGAAAAAAUAGUAAUUACUCAUUGGAAAACCAACACUAACCAGAAACAGACAUAACAUUUUAUUGCGACUCAAUUGCGAAGUAGUUUCGCCAAUAUUGUUGUUAUUGAGAAGUGAAUCUAACCCAUCAUUGCAAACCUCAUCAGCUUUGGAAGCUCUUGAACAAAUUCUUUCUUCAAUAAUUCCAUAAAAAAUAUCACAUAACUUCUUCAUGUAACUGGUCAUCUUUGCAUGCACACCUUGUGGAUCAAAGGGACGAAGAAUUGGAAAGAAAUCUGAAACAUUAGGCUUACCAGCUUUUUCCAUGAUACCCCAAAUAAUGUUUUCAAACUCUUUAGACUUCAUCAUGUGUUAAAUGAGCCAAAUCAAUAGAGAACAAAGUGUUUGAAAUUGAAUUAAAGAAAGUUGUAAAAACAGCAUCACCAAUAUCAAAAACUUCACCUUUGUAGCCUUUUUCUUUCACAUAAUCCAAUUAAUUCUUUUAACUUUUGAUUGGUCGGUUUGAAUUCAAAAUAUUAAUUUGACUGUAAGUUUUGGUUUGUAAGUCAUAUUUUAUGGCCAUAAAAAUGAUUUGGCAAAAACUCUAGUUAGUUUUUUUUAUGCUUUUCACGGUAAAAAAUAUUGGUCAGUUUGAAAUCAAAAUAUUUGGAAUGUCUAUUUUCAGAGUUCAAGUGCUGCUUGUAAUAAGUAUACUUUUCCAGUUUUUUCAUGAUCAAUUUAAUUUACUCUUGCCUUAGCUAAGUUUAUUUUUUCUUUCUUUGUAUGUAUUUUAUUUUUCUUAACAUAUAUAAUAUAUGGCCCCAUAAAUGUUAAUAUCAUGUAUUGUCAACAUAAUGAACUGUCUUGAAUACAAAAGAAACAGGAACAGUCAUUAGAAAUAGAAUACAAUAUUAAAGAAUUUUGAUAAACCAUAGAAAUAGAACAGAAUACAAUAAUACAUAGAAUACAUAGUAAAUAGCCAAUUGUCUUGCUAAAUUCAUUAUUCCUAUUUCUUUUGUCAACAUAAUGAAUUUUUCUUAACCAUAUAAAUCAAAAUUCAUAAUUUUUCUUAAUAUAUGGCCACAUAAAUGUUAAUAUCAUGUAUUUUUUUGAAUACAAAAGAAACAGGAACGUGUUUCUGCUAUAUGAUAUACCAUUUUGUAGCUCAAUUUAUCCUUCGUGGUUGAAUAUAGAUUGUAGUACUCAACAACUACAUAACAUUUUUAGAGGUCUGAGUGACUACACUACAAAUCAUAAUUGCAGUCACAUAGAUUGUAGCUGUGUGCAUUUUACCACAGUAUAUAGAUUUUAACUGUAAGUGCAACCCCAAUUGUGUUGAUAGUAGCCACAAUUUAAAUUCAUGGUAGUGACACAAUCACAAACAUUAAUUAAUUAUACUCGAAUUUUCACUUCAAACAUAUCCUCAAUCAGCACUGCCACGUGACCAAAGCCAUCCCAUGUUAGCAAAAAAGUGGAGCCAGAAACCUUUUUAAAACAAAAAAGAAUUUGCAGGGAUGUUUUUAAUUUUUUUUUACAAAGACGAAAAUCAAAACGCGUCCAAAUUACAAAAACGGAAUGCAUAUUUAAGCUUUUUACAAAUAAUUGACAAGUAGCAAAAAAAGAAAUGAUCACUUGAUAGUAAUUUCCCUUGCAAUUCAAUUUCUAAAGUCUAUAGUAGAUUAAUUUAAAAUAAUAAGUGCUACAAUACCACUACAUGUUCAAAUUGUCUCCUCCUUCACUAAUUUGUGUCUAUCCCUCUCUUAAUUUUAUUUUUUAUUCUUCUCUCUUAAUCUUCUCACUAAAAUAUAAUAAGAGAUAGAUAUAACUUGAAAGAGGAAAAAAAGAGAAUGAGGGAAAGGAGAGAUCUAAAUUUGCAAAUCUUGCAAUUAUAUGGAUUCUAGCUCUUCGUUAUAUUCAAUUAUUUAUCAUAGAAAGAUGUUUAUUACCCAAAUCAUUAGAUGGCUAUUACACCAUCACUUAUUAAGAAAUUACAGGGACCACAUGUUUAAAUUGCAGUAUACAACAACAAUACAGUUUUAAAGGUCUUACAAACAGCUACAUCCUUCGGUCACUAUUAUAACCAAAAAUCUACAUUUUAGAUUCAUUCAUUUAAUGAUGCACAUAAUUUUUAUUAUAGACCAUAUACAUCAUUAAAUGAAUGAACUCAAAAUAUUUUUUUUUACUUAUAUUAGUGAUCAGAGGGUGUACAUUGCAACCACCACAACAAUAUAUGCAAUAUAUCGAAUGCAUAUGUUUGCAUUUUAGCACGACAUAAAAGGUUUGAAAUGUAAUUGAAACCGUCCGCAACUUCAUGGCAGAUAUGUCAGGAUCACAAAGACGCAUUGUUAUUUUCCAAAAGCUAUAAUUUGUAACUUCAAUAAAAUCACGAUGGGUCGCCGUGAUUCUAACUUAUCCACCAUGAUACAAAACGUUCACAUUUAUCCUUCAAACAUAUCUACCUAUGCUGAUGAAAUAGCUUGAACUCGAAGAGAUUGGACCCUCUUUAAUGUUACCCCAAAUCGCUCAUCCAUACUCAUGUCUUCUGGAUUUAACCCAUCAGCAAGUGUCCAUUCAAAAUUGCGUAGAAGGGAUGCCACAAUUAAAUGCACACUCCUAUGAGCUAAUGGCAAUCCUGGGCAAAUUCUUUUGCCAGCCCCAAAUGGUAUAAGCUCAAAAUUGUUACCCUUAUAAUUAAUGUCACGCUCCAAAAAUCUUUCAGGCUCAAACUUAUUUGGAUUUUCCCAAAUAGUUGGAUCUCUUCCCAUGGCCCACACAUUGACUAAUACUUGUGCAUUUUUUGGCACAUUGAAGCCUGAUAUGUUCAAAUUUUCAUCACAUUUGUGGGGUAGCAAUAAUGGAGCUGCGGGGUGCAACCUAAAGGUUUCCUUCACCACUGCUUGUAAAAAUGGUAACAUGGAAAUAUGUGAUUCUUCAAUUGUUUCAUCUUUACCAAUUUCUUUACAUAACUCUUUUCUUGCUUUUGCUAAUUUUUCAGGAUUACCUAAUAGCUCUGCCAUGACCCACUCAAUGGUGCUUGAUGUAGUGUCGGUACCAGCCGUAAAUAAAUCCUAAUAUGGAAAAUUACUAUUAGCAAAACCUUGAAAGAAAAAUAUGAAAUUAAUAAACAAAUUUUAUUGAUGUAAAUGAAUAUCUAUAGAUUCACUUGCUGAUUUUUUCUAGAAAGUUAAAAUUGAAAUUUGUAUCAAAAUCGACUAAUAUCUAUUGUGGUCUAAACCAAAAGGAAAAAGAUAGGUAGACAUCUUUUUUCAUACACCUCUUAUGUACACCCCCAUAUGUUAAGGGUAUUUUAGUAAUUUUACAUCAUAUCAUCACCCUUUUUCAUCUCUUCUUUCAAUGUUUUUGCCACGUGUCGCAAAUGUGUGUGGGUGUAAAAGGGUGUAUGCCACCUAAGGUAGUUUAUGUAUAAGAGCUCAAACCAAAAAUAUCCGGAUAUCAAAUCAGUCAUAAUUGUUUUGGGAAUUUUUUUUUUUAUCUGUAUAAGAAAAAACCAAAAUCUGAUUUCUGGUCCAAACUAAAAAAUUGAUUUUAAUUCAACAGUCAAACUAAGGCAUUAUAGAAAAGAAAAAAAUAAAACUCAACAUCAAGGCUUAGUAGAAAAAUCAUGGGUCCACUACAGAGCAAAAUAUUCUAUGACGAUAUAUUAUUUUAGGAAAUUACACCCUCUUUUUUUUAGAGUUGCUUGAAUUAUCCUUCUCUUUUUUCUUAUGUUAAAAUAUAGAGUAAAUAACACUCUAAUUCUCUCAAAGAUGCUUGAAUUACACUCCCCUCUCCUCUUAUGUUAAAAUAUAUACUUUUCUCCCCUCUUUUUCAAAACAUAUUAAAAAAUAUUUCGCUCCCCACCCCUAAGAGAAACAUGAAUUACAUUCCCGUCCCCACUUAUGUUAAAAUCUACACUUUACUCCAUCAAUGUUUUUUUUUUUUAUUUCUAAUAAUCUAGCAAAAUAAUAAUAAUCUAACACACUUCGGGAAAAAAUAGAAUUGCGGUUCUAUUUUAAUAUAGUAAAAAUUUGAAUAUAUAUUUUUUGCUAUUUUUUAUUCAAAAUUUCAUUAACAUAUACUUUUAACCCAUAUUAUAAUAUAUGAAACAACCCAAAAUAAAAUUAAAAUAUGUGAAAAAUUACUAAAUACAAUAAAUUAUGGUUAUUUAAAAGUUAUUUUUAUGCUUUAAAUUAUAAAGUUAAUAGCGAAAAAUUUAAAUUUAAUUAUUAUUGGCAUUUAAAUUAUAUAUAAAUGAAUUUAUUUUUCUUAAAUGGUGGUUCAAAAUUAGUAUAUAUCAUAAAUAUAUUUAUUUAUGUUAAAAUAGAUUAAAGUGUAGUGCAUAUUUAUUUAUAAAGGGAUGAGUUUGUAAUUCAAGCAUCGUAUAAGGGAGGGGAGUAUACAUUUUAAUUUUCAAGGGAGGGGAGUGUAUAUUUUAACAUAAGAGGAGAUGAGAGUGUAAUUCAAGCAUCUUUUAGAGGAGGGGGUUGUAGUUUACUCUAAAAUAUAUACACUUUACUCUCUUGAAAAGUCAAUACCGUGAGUAAAUUAUAUCUUUCUUUCCUAUGAGAUGCCUGAAUUGCAACCCUCUACCUUAAUAAUUAAAGAUGCACUACACUUCAUUUCUUUUUAACAUCUUGAGAAGUCACAUAUUACAUCUUUUUUACAAGAAGACAUAUAUUAUAUCUUUAUCUCUGGUGGUAUAUCCAAAUACUCAUGUUUGUAUUUUAUAUUUGUCUGUUGUGUACUAAAUGCUUUGGCAUUUGCCAAUCGAUAAAUACCAAUAUUUAUUACUUUUAUAGUAUUAGGGCUUGACCUUUAAAAUUUAUGUUUCAAAACGAGAAAAUUGUGUGCAAUUCGUGCUAGGCAUGGCAAUGGGUGGGGUGCGGAUGGGUUUUGCUUUUCUCAUUCCCAUUAUACCCAUAUGGUCAUAUCCAACGGAAAUGAGAAAUUAAAUCUCAUCUCCGUCCUCAAUGAGUUUGGAUAUUUCCGCCCCAUCCCCGUCUCCAUAGUGAAUCAAUUUUUUUUUUAAUAAAAAAAGAAUUUUAUGAAGCUUCAAUGGUAAUGUUGUAAUGCAUUAUGUAAUCAUUUGCGCUCAUUUUAACAUUUCCUUAUCAAAAAAUUUGGUUGCUCCUUCAACUAUCAAUGAAUGUUCUUAUAUCAUGACAAUUAUCAAACUAAAUAACAUGACAUAUCAUUAUCAACCCCUCAAUAAAAACAAAAACAUGACAUUUCUACAUUCGGGUAGGGUUUGGGUAUGAGUUCGGGGUAGAUACAUAUAUUCCCGUUACCCGUCCCGUACCCGUAUUUUGAAAUCAGGGAGAACCCAAACCUAGACAAAUCGAGGAAAACUCAUCAAAUCGGGGUUGGUUUGGGCGGAUAUCCAUGGACACGGGUUUUGUUGCCAUGCCUAAUUCGUGCCAUAUAGCAUUUCAAAUAGUUAGAAAAGUCCCCUUGACAAAAAAAGAAGAAGAAGAAAGUCCAAAUGUAUGUAGUUUUUUUUGGUAGUGUAAAUGUAUGUAGUUGAAUUCGACCACUAGUUGCCAACACAAAUUUCUCUUCCCACUAACAAAUUAACUAUCAUACGCCAAUUUAAAAAAAAAAAAAAAUAGAAAAAUAACUAGAUUGUGAUUUAUGUAAUUCAGUUAUUAAAAAACAAAUACUAACCUGAAAUAAAUGCACCAUUUCAUUGCGGCUCAAUUUAUUAGUGGUUUCUUCAAUAUUGUAAUUAAGAAGUGAAUCUAACACAUCAUUGCACACCUUAGAAUCAGAAUUGGAAUCUCUUGAACUAAUUCUUUCUUCAAUUAUUCCAUCAAAAAUCUCACACAACUUUUUCAUAUGAUUGGUAAUCCUUGCGUGUAUUCUUUGUGGAUCAAAAGGACGAAGAAUUGGAAAGAAAUCUGAAACAUUAGGCUUACCAGCUUCUUCCAUGAUACCCCACAUAACGUUCUUAAAUUCUUGAGACUUUUCAUCAGGUGUUGAAUGAGCCAAAUCCAUAGAACACAAAGUGUUUGAAAUUGAAUUAAGGAUAGUUGUAAAAACAGCCGCACCAAUAUCAAAAAUCUCACCUUUCUUACUUUUUUCAUUCACAUAAUCUAAUAAUUCUUGCAACUUUUGUUGGCGAAGGAUUUUUGUUGAGUCAAGUACUUUUGUAGAAAAUACUUUUGUAGCACAAAAUUUCCUUAGUUUCUUCCAUGAAGCUAAUGUUGGAAGCAUCCCAAUUGAUAAUUUGUCAUGAUCAAGUGCACAAAGUGCAUGUGGGACAGUUCUAUUAGAGAAGAUUUGAGAAUUUUCAUGUAAAACUUGUUUGGCUAGUUGAGGUGAUGAGAUUACUAUGGUUGUUAAUGUUCCUAGUUUUAGUGUCAUAAUUGGUCCAUAGAUGUUUGAGAGAUUUGUGAGUGUCCUGUGUGGAUUUUUGCCAAGUUGUAAGAUGUUUCCUAUGAUGGGAAGUGGUUUUGGCCCUGGUGGAAGUUUUGUAGAAUUUUGAGUUUGGUUUAAUUUUUUAAAAAUGAAGAUGAGAAUGCUCGCACACAAAGAGGUAAUCACCAGUAGAAGUGUUUGGUAGUCCAUAGCUUAUUGUUUUUGCCUUUUUCUUUUAACACAUAUAUAAAUAGUAGAGCACCGAUAGAUUCGGUUCCAACACCGUCAGAAGUACGUAACAACCGGACCAAUGAUAUCUUAGGAAGAAAAAAAAAUCAUUGAUUAAAUCUCACAUGAAUACAAAAUAGGUACGUAAUAGUAUUAAAUAUAUUUACACCUCAGUCCUUAGAGAGAAAAAAAUUCAUUGACUAAAUCUCACAUGAAUACAAAAUAGAUAGUGCUAUUAAAUAUACUUACACCUCAUUUCUUAAAUAUAGGGUUAAUAGUGUUUUUCACCCCUGUAAUAUAUGUUAUUUCUGAUUUUCGUCCCUAUAAAAUUUUCAGUUUGAUUUGCACCUUCGUAAUUUUUUUUCUUCGGAAAACACCCCUAAUAAGCCAUUUUCAGAAUUUUUUUUCAAGAAAUUAUUGUUUUUGAAUGGCCUAUUAAGGGUGUUUUCCGGUAAAUAAAAUUUUUACGAGGGUGCAAAUCAAACCGAAAAUAUUAUUGGGGCGAAAACUGGAAAUGACAUAUAUUACAGGGGUGAAAAGCACUAUUAACCCUUAAAUAUAUAUAUAAAAAAAUCAUUGACUAAAUCUCACAUGAAUAAAAUAUAGGUACGUUAAAAAAUAGGUACGUAAUAGUAUUAAAUAUGGAGUAAAUAGUCAAUUCCCCCCUGAAAUUGUAAGUUUCGUCAAUUAUCCCUCUGAAAUUAACAAAACUUCAAUCACCCCCCUGAAAUUGCAUAACGUUAAUCAAUUUACCCCUCCGUCAGAUUUUUCUGUUAACUGUUUACGGUUAUGAUCAAAUACACCCCCUGAAAUUUUGCACUUAUGUGCAAAAUGCCCCAUAAACUUAAAAAUUUAGAUUUUUUUUCUUACCAAAAAUCAUACAUUUAGUUCUUCAAGUAGUAUAUUGUACCUAUUGUCAUAAAAAUUCUAUUCACAAGAAAAUGAAUGAAUAUAUGUCAAAGAAAUCAUGGUUUUGUCAUGUGCAGCCUUUUCAUUCAUAUUUCAUAUUUAUCAACAAGUCUUGUUUCUUCUUCCUUCUGCAGAUAUUAACCUAUGAAUUUUCUUGUUGGACACACAAUUAUCAAAGACUUGUGUACUUUAUGACUGCAUACUCUAACAUAACUAUCAACUUGUGUAAAAAAAAAAAAGUCUUUUAUACAUGUAUAUAUUUAAAACACAUGAGAGUAACAUACCUUCCAUAAAGAUUUAUCAGCAAUGCUAUAUGGUACGAAAAAAUGCACGUACGGAAAUAGACGAAUGCCCAACUUGUCCAAUUUUUAUGAAAUUAAAAACUGAUAUAGUAUGCUUUGACGGAAAUCAUGGGUAAUGGCUAAUAAAAAGCUUGGCAAUUAUAACAUGAGAAGUAUUGAAAACAACCAAUUUACAGAAUACAUGGCUGAAUGGCAAGCAAUAACUACUUUCGUUAAUUUUCGUGCUCACCGUCCCGUACUAUUUAUCAUUAUCCAAGAUUUAUAUGACCAAUAGUUGCAUAAACAUACAUUCCAUACAUAUUUAUAUGAUCAAUAAUUGUUAAUUUGUUUGUCUUUAAUAUCUUUUAAGUCAAGGAUAAAAAAAAUAAAUUUUUAAAGUUUAGGGGGCAUUUUGCACAUAAGUGCAAAAUUUCAGGGGGGGGUAUUUGAUCAUAACCGUAAACAGUUAACAGAAAAAUUUGACGGAGGGGGUAAAUUGAUUAACGUUAUGCAAUCUCAGGAGGGUAAUUGAAGUUUUGUUAAUUUCAGGAGGAUAAUUGACGAAACCUACAAUUUCAGGGGAAAAAUUGACUAUUUACUCAUUAAAUAUGCUAACAAGUGUAUAUGACUUCAACAUAUAUGAGAUUUAGUAACAAUUCAAAAUUGCAACUAAAUCAAAAACAAAUGUUACUAUUUAGAUCUUGUAACAUUUCACAAAUGUUAGGUAAAGCCCGUGUUACUAAAUGAUUUCAGUAACACUUGUGAGUUUACUUGUAACGCUUAAAAUGUUACUUACUAAGUAGCUAAUUUGUAGCAAAUCUAUAGCUAACAGUUUUAGGAGCAAUUGUAGCAAAUUUUGUUGCAUAAAUAUUACUGAAUGGUGAAGACUUUUCUUUUAUUUUAAAAUUUAAAAAUAUUAUUCAUCGUCGAGAGGAUGAAAGAUACACCAAAAACUCGCAGAAAGCAAUAGAAAAUUACAUAAAGGCACCAAAAAAAGGCGUCACGCCUAAGCUCCUAAAGAAUCAUGAGCCGAGGUGGUAUACACCAGCUGCCUAAUUACAAAGACCAAAUCCAGCAAUGUACCAAGACAAACCAAGGUACUACCACCAAAAGAAUACCCCUGCCUCCCAAUUCCCAAAAGUAUAGAUUAUCAUUUCUGUGGCACUGUUUUGCGCGCAAUUGAUUGGAAUUAGAAUGUUAACAAAACCAAGGGUGUUUUAUUAGUAGCUCAAUUCAAUACAAUUAUUAUCAUUUAUAUAAUGGGUCGCCAAAAAUAGCAUAAAUAAUCCUACGAUAAACCAGUUUUAUUAUUGCAUGCAUUAGCAGAUUCACUUAUAAGGUUUAUAAAGUUCACUUUAGUUAUACUUGUAGAAUAUUGGUCACUAGUUUAUACGGUUCACUUUAUUAAAAAAAAAAAAGUUUAAAAGAAUCACUUAUUUAUUUAGCAGUAGCAGCAGUAACUAUUUGUUCAACAUUAUUUAGCAGUAUAUCUAACUCAUUUAUUUUAUAUGGCUUGUGAAAAUGCUUUUUAUUCCAUCUUUUUCAUGCAAUUUCUUGUCGAUUAGUUUCAGCGUGGAUCAAUCAACUUUUGGUUUUUCGAAACUUUUCAAUCAAAAUACCAAUAAAAAAUAACCGUGAUAUUGCUAAAACAAAACUUUGCUCUAAAUAAAUAUUCCAAAUCAUGUGGGAAACUUCAGAAUGCAACAGAAAUAUUAGAGUUUAUACGUCUUACUACUUUAUUUGAAACUUCCACUAACAAAGUUUCAAAGAUAAGAAUUCAGUUAACUCUCCAUUUCACACCAUGUACCAAACAUUCUUAAAUCUUAAUCAUUAGUUAGAAGAACUAAUGCAGCCCUAGCUCAGGAGAAGUUCUAGGAAAGAGCUGGAAGUUGAAAUACUUGUAAAUUCAUUCAAACCCUUAUCUAUGCCAACGAGAAAGAAUGAGUGGUCACUUAUUUAAUCUCCAAAAUCAAAUUAUUUUAGUUUGAUUGCUUCCAAUUAUAUAUGCAAGUAGUUCAAUUGAAACAAUUACUUAUGUUUGUUUCUUGUAUUUUGAUAUUGUCUUAUGUGUACAGGUAAGUUGGUUUUAUUCUGGACGGAAAAAUUUGUUUUUCACUAUUUAAUUUAAUCAAUAAAUCUUAUUUAAUCUUAUGUAAUUUGGUUUCUACUUUCUAGUUUUAAGUUUUUACUCUUUUUGUUAUUACAUGCUUACCGUAAACAUCAAAUUAAGAUUAUGUAUGACUAAAAAUAAAUGGUAUUCGAUUCAUGAAUUCGUUCAAAUUGAUAGAGUACAUCGUUACAAUACAUAUUUACUAAAUAUAAAAAGGAUGAAUAUGCAAACAAACUCACAACAUCCAUGUGAAUAGAAUAAAAUGUCAAAGUACAUGAGCGUAGAAAUACGACUAUAAUUAAGUGUCUAGAAUGCCUAUGUCUCUGAAUGUGUAACGUUGAAGACACCAUACUCAUUGAUUGGUUAUGCACAAGAUCGAAGCUGAUCUGACAAGAACAAACAUCGUAAAUAGAUGGAAAAGAAAAAUAACAUCACAUAGAGACGGAAAAACAAACUAAGAUCGCACUACGACGACAAAAUCACGUAAGAAAAAACUAAAUAGAUGUGAAAAUUAUUUAUUUAAAUAAAAGAGAAUGAGAAAAAAUUAUUUAUUAUUAUAAUUAUUAUUAUUGUUAUCAUUCUUAGAGUUACUAACAGACAUUUUACAAUUGUCUCAUAUGUGAUUUGAACUAUUUCCUAAAAAAUGUUUAUUUGUGUUUUUCUAUAAUAGUAAAAUUAUUUGUUUUAUGUAGUCUCUCGUUUACCACAUUAAUUAAAAUCAGAUAUUUUGAAGAAAAAACAUACUAAAAGCAACGUAUCAUUUUAAUAAAAGUUUAUUUUUUUUAUUCAUUUUCAAAAGCUUAUUUUUUUACAAUUUUUUUCAAAAAGAAUGAUAUAAUAUAUAUAUAUGUGAAGUGAAUAUGUAGUAAUUAAUGUGACGAUUUAUAUAUAGCAAUUUUAAAUUAACUUUAUACAUUUUCAUUAAAUAUUGUUGAUAGGUCGAAAGAAAAAGAACACAAAAUUUGAAUACUUUAUGAAUUAUAGCAUUAAACUAUUAUUUAUUUUUUUGUAUAUAUAUUAACUUCACAAACCAUACAAAAAUCACUGCAUAGUCUCAAAAUGGAAGAACUGAAGAUGAUGAUUGAUAGUCUCAAAAUUCAAGAACUUAGAUAUGACGAAUUAAUAAAAUUGAAAGCACUCUUAUUGAAGCUCCGAAAGAUAGUGAUGGAUGAUAUCUCAAUCAGAAGAGGAGAGAUUGCUUCACAUGGUAAGGGAUAUGGUAUUAGAUAUAUAUGUUAUAGCUUUUAUUUAGUAGUAGUAGGAUAUCAAAUGAUUUAAUUCUUGCUUAUUGUUCUUAUUUUUAUGAGUAGAAAUCAAACUCAAUCAGGAUAUGUUUGCAAUACACAAAUACACUGCAUACUAAUUGAUCACUUUUGUUUGAUCAAAAUGGAUGUUUAUUUAGAGUGUGGAAGUUGUAAGAUAAUAUGAAAUACACACUAUUGAUCAUGGAAAAUAUUUAGUAGUAACGUGAUUUUGGACACAAUUUGUACACACGCGUAAAAAUGCAUAUGACAUAAUUAUUUGAGAAAUAAACAAUUUUUUUUUUUAUCUUUCUAUCUUUUUAUUUUAUUUUUGUAAGUAUGCCUAAAACUUGUGAUCACAUGUUUUUGAGAGAUGAUUUAUAAGUAAUGUUAGUUGCUCUCUCAAAUGACCAUGCUUAAUCUAUUUUCUCCUUUUCUUUACGUUGCAUAUCUUAUCUCCUUGUUUUUUAUACAUUUGAAUAUUUUAAUCAUGUAGGCAUGAAAGGAAAAUAUGUUGUUGCGGAGGAUACCCCAGCGAAUAACUCUCUUGUUUUGUUUUAGUCAAUAAUGUGGGUCCCAUUGAUGGGAUUCAAACUAUUAUAUGUUUUGGUUAAGUUGUGUUUGGUUAUGUUUAAUGUGUACCGGUACAUUGGUUUUGUACUAAGGACGAACAAGUUUGAUUUUUACUAUUCAAUUUAAUCAAUAAAUCUCAUUUAAUUUAUUUGUGAGAUUUAUUGAUUUAAUAGUAAAAAUAAACUUGUGCGUAAUGCAAAACAUAUCUCAUAUAUACAUCAUAAAAUAAAUUUUUAUUUGGUUAUAUUAUGUGAUUUGGUUUCUAGUUUUAAAUUUUUAAUAUUUUUGUUAUUAUUUUGAUGCUUACCAUAAUUAAACAUCAAAUCAAGAUUAUGUGUGAUUAAAAACCUCCAUCAAACAUAUUUUUCACAGACACGCAAUACAUUAUAUAUGCAUCAUCACCGUAAGAGUAAAUAGCUCCAUUAAAUAACAAUUGAUAAGCCACAUCCACUAAUAGACAUAGUGCAUUUGAGGCGUAUAACUCAGUUAGUUAGGGUUUCUUGGAUCAUAUGUUGAGACAUUGAUGAUAAAAUUGUGUCAUUUCUUUAUGAACAAAUUAAUGAUAUACAUUUAUUAAAUGAAAAUUUCAUGAAUAAAAAUGAAAACUAUGAUAUGAUUGAAACACAGCCUGUUGUAGUGUCAAUUCAUAUUAAUCACUUCAAAUGAAUAAUAUUCCAUAUGCAAUUUCACAAGUGUAUAUCCUCUAGAAAAAUUGUAAUUGAGUGCUUAGAUAUGGAGACAUUGGGAGAUUUAUGAUGAGUUGGAGAUAUCCAAACCAUGGUGUAUGAAUCGAAGAGAAGAGGUAGCCAGAUAAAUGAAAGUUAUUUUUUUUUUUUUUUGAGAUAAAUGAAAGUUAUUGAAAAUAUAACUUUUGAAUAAACAUGAAAAGAAUAAUGAUUAUUGAGUGAAGGUGUUUUGAAGAAGCGAAACAGUAGCCACAAAGAAGAGGGAAAUUAAAAGAGUUCAUAGUAGUGUGAGUGAAAGUGUGAGAGUUAACAUAGAUAUUUAAUUCUUAGUGUUAAAUUUAAAACUAGAGUUAGGGGUUGUUUUAUUAUCUAUUAAAACCUUAAGGGAGGUUAGUGUAGUUUUCUCAUCUUCUUUUAUUGGGAAAGAUGAUGAAACCAUUGAGGAAUCUCAUAUUUACAAGUUACCUUUCUUACAAGCAAUUGUGAAGAAAACUAUUGGAUUGCAUCCACCACCAGGUCCAUUAUUGAUAAUGUGAUGAAACUAUGAACAUUGUAGGCAUCAAUGUCUAGGCUAUGGGAAGAGAUCCCAUCAUUUGAAAAAAAUCUAAAUAUAUUCACGCCUGAAAGAUUUUUGGAGGAUGACAUUAAUUAUUAGGGUAUAAAAUUUAAUAUAUGAGAAAAUGAAUUGUGUAUAAACUAGUUUUAAACUGAUAUUAGAUAAGACCAUGUAUAAUGGGUUAUUGAAUCCUACAUUCAACAUGUUGAAGCCAUGCAAUGAGGGGUGUUGAAAGAAGGAAAAAUCUGAGUUGGAGGAGGGAAGUGUUGAAUUGAUUCAACUAGUUGAAAGCCUGGCCCAGAAGACACGUGGCGCGCUCGGAUUUGGCCAAAAAUGGCGCGUGCGUUACACGCGCCGACAGGGCGCGUGUGGGUUUGGUCCGCGGAGAGAGAAGACAGCAAUGGAUAGUGUAGUGGACACAUGGCAUUUUGUGAUUGGCUGCUUGGAUUUUUAUCUUCUUAAUAAUUUGGACUCAAUUAUUUUAUUGCAAAUAAUUUUUUUUUUUUUUUUUUUUUUACCAAAAUUCGUAAUUUUUUUUCUCUAUAAAUAGAGACUUGGAUCAUUUGAUUUGGACACAGAAAAAAAAUCAAGUUUUUCACUCUCUUAAUCUUAUUAUUAGCUUUGUAUUAGCCUUUCUUUUGAAGUUUUAGUGUUUAUUUAGUGAAAUGGGUCCCACUAACAAUCAAUUCAACACCCAAAAUUCUUCUGUUAAGUGUUUCUUUAUUUUAAUUUAAUUAUAAUCGUUAAUUGUAAUUUUAUGUAAUUAUAAAAACAAAAAUAUAAAAUUAAAUAAGAAUAAGAAAUAAAAGGUGGUGGGGUAGGGUGUUGAAUGAAAAAACUAUUGAAGAGUUAAAAUUAAAAGGGUGUUGAAUUAAGAGAGAGAAAAUGAUGUGGAGUGUUGGGAAUUAAAAAAGUGGAUGUUAAAGGUUGUUGAAUUUGGUUUACCAUUAUACAUGGUCUAAGGAUGAAAUAUUCGAUAGUUACUUUUUACUGCAAAAAAAUGAUUAUUAAAUAGACAUCUAUAACAGGCUUUUACCCACAGAUUUUGGAGGUCACUAUAGCCUAUAGUGCCGGAAUUUCUCUGUAGAACAAAAUUAAGUUUUACCUACGGAUUUGGGACAUAGGUUCAGUCCCUAAUAGAACUACAAAUUUUUAUGCCUAUGGAUUUGAGACGUAGGUAUAGAAUCUGAUGAGAACUACAACUGGUUAUUAUCUACACCUAUUUCCGUCACUACAGACUUCAGCGACACUAAUUAUUUCGUUGGUAUUUUAUUUGUAAUGUAUACUAAAAUAAAAUUUAUUUACAGUUGUGAUCAAGUAAGUUUUCCUCCUCAAUCAAUCCAAGGUGUUGCGACUAAAAGACUGCAUUUUCUUUCUAGUAGCAUCAUUCGUACAUGUUCAUAAAUAAACAAAACUUUAUCUUGAAACUAAAUAUGUCAAAGAAAUACUAUGGAAAGGGAAAUAAACCCAAGGUGUGGUCAAAAGGCCACACUGUGGUCUUUUAUUAUGAUAGGCAAUGGUUUUGAGUUUGAAAAUCAAUUUUGGGGUAAGAAGAAUGCCAAAGCAAGGAACAGAUUGAAAACAUCAUACAAUUUUAUUAUUAAACGCAAGAAUAUAAAAUAUAUUAAGUCAAACAUAACAUAGAGAUAGGUCACUUUGGUGUUAGUGGAGAUAGAUGCAGCCAAAAUAUUUGAAAAUUCAAACAUAUUUAAUUGACUUUAAAUUGUACAUAUAAUUAUGUUCAGAUUUAUAAAUGUUACUAUAUGCAUAUUUUGGUAUAAAUUAAUUGUAAGAUAGGACAAAGUGGCAAACCACAAGAAAGACAUAGCUCUUCAUUAAAAGUUUUCACGCUGCUACAUUAUAGCAACUAAUUAAAUUGAAAGAGACGCAUAUCAUCACCAUCAGACUCAGUUUAUGCACAUGUCAACAUGUGAAAAAUAAAAUUCUUGUUAUAAAAGCAUAAGCAUGUGGUUCAUGCACAACUAAUAAUAAUUGAAGUUGAAGUCCACGGAGAAUCAAACAUAACACUUCUACAAUGUCACUUUAUUAUGUUUGGAUUCUCUAGAGCGUCCAACACAGUUUUUGGAUGAAGGUGCUCUUAGAUCUGAAUUUGAAAACUAUGAUUGUGCAACAAUCACAGAAGAUGUUGUUAUAUGACUAUAACAACUGAAUAUAACAAUUUUAGUGAUCUCACCAAUGAUAUCAUGAUCGCAACUGCAACGAAAUCGAUUGAAUUUGUUUACAUACCACAAUAUAAACUAUUUUGGAGUGUAAUUACAACCGCGAUUGCAAGUGCAAUUUACAACAACAUUCGUGACCCAACCAUAAACCAUAUACUCUUUUACCCUUCUCCUUAGGCUGAUGAAAUAGCUUGAACUCGAAGAGGUUGGACCCUCUUUAAGGUUAAUCCAAAUUGUUCGUCCAUGUUCAAUUGUUCCGGUAUUAGCCCAUCAGCAAGAUUCCAUUCAAAAUUGUGUAGAAGGGAUGCCACCAUUAAAUGCAUAGUUCUAUGAGCUAAUGGCAAUCCUGGACAAAUUCUUUUGCCAGCUCCAAAGGGUAUAAGCUCAAAAUUAUUACCUUUAUAGUUAAUGUCACACUCCAAAAAUCUUUCAGGUGCAAACAUAUCUGGAUUUUUCCAAAUGGUUGGAUCUCUCCCCAUAGCCCACACAUUGACUAGUACUUGUGCAUUUUUUGGCACAUUAAAGCCUAAUAUGUUCACAAGCUCAUCACAUUUGUGAGGUAACAAUAAUGGAAUUGGUGGGUGCAACCUAAAGGUUUCUUUCACAACUGCUUGUAAGAAAGGUAACUUGAAAAUGUGUGAUUCUUCAAUGGUUUCACCUUUGCCAAUUGUUUGACAUAACUCUUUUCUUACUUUUGUUAAUUUGUCAGGAUUACGUAGUAGCUCUGCAAUAAUCCAUUCAAUUAUGCUUGAUGUUGUGUCAAUCCCAGCAACAAAUAAGUCCUAACAAAACAUGAUUUCCAAAUUUAAUUAUUAAAUAUAGCCUAUGAUAUUAAAAAAACUGAGGAUUAAUGAUUGAAAAAUAAGAAAGUAGUAAAACUUAUUGAUUUAAAUGUAUAUUCAUAGAGUGGUCCAAACCAAAAUUAACCGGAUAUCAAAAUAGUCAAAACAAUCAUUGAUUUAAAUGCAUAUUCAUUGAAUAAGUUGCUAAUUUUUGUGAGUAAUCAAAAUUGAAAGUGACAUGUGCCAAACAAUAUGAGCUAGUGUCUAAAGUGGUCCAAACAAAAACUAACCAGAUAUCAAAAGUCAAAAAAUGUUAUGAAAAAAUCAACACUAACCAGAAACAGAUGCACCAUCUCACUGCGGCUCAAUUCCGAAGUUGCUUCUCCAAUAUUAAUAUUAAGAAGUGAAUCUAACACAUCAUUGCAAACCUCAACAACUUUGGAGGAUCUUGAACGAAUUCUUUCUUCAAUAAUUCCAUCAAAAAUCUCACACAACUUCUUCAUAUGAUUGGUCAUCCUUGCAUACAAACCUUGUGGAUCUAAGGGACGAAGAAUUGGAAAGAAAUCUGAAAUAUUAGGCUUACCAGCUUCUUCCAUGAUACCCCAAAUAAUGGUCUUAAAUUCUUGAGACUUCUCAUCAGGUACUGUGGAAUGUGCCAAAUCCAUAGAGAACAAAGUGUUUGAAAUUGAAUUAAGGACAUUUGUAAAAACAGCUUCACCAAUAUCAAAAACCUCACCUUUGUUACUUUUUUCAUUCACAUAAUCUAAUAAUUCUUGCAACUUUUGUUGGCGAAGGUUUCUUGUUGAGUCAAGCAUUUUUGUAGAAAAUACUUUUGUAGCACAACUUUUCCUUAGUUUCUUCCACAAAUUUAAUGUUGGAACCCACCCAACUGAGAAUUUGUCAUGAUCAACUGCAGAGAUUGCAUGUGGGACAGUUCU